rnacentral:rRNA from 1 species
CUUCGGUGUCCGAGUUGUAAUUUGAAGAUUGUAACCUUGGGGUUGGCUCUUGUCUAUGUUUCUUGGAACAGGACGUCACAGAGGGUGAGAAUCCCGUGCGAUGAGAUGCCCAAUCCUAUGUAAGGUGCUUUCGAAGAGUCGAGUUGUUUGGGAAUGCAGCUCUAAGUGGGUGGUAAAUUCCAUCUAAAGCUAAAUAUUGGCGAGAGACCGAUAGCGAACAAGUACAGUGAUGGAAAGAUGAAAAGAACUUUGAAAAGAGAGUGAAAAAGUACGUGAAAUUGUUGAAAGGGAAGGGUUUGAGAUCAGACUCGAUAUUUUGUGAGCCUUGCCUUCGUGGCGGGGUGACCCGCAGCUUAUCGGGCCAGCAUCGGUUUGGGCGGUAGGAUAAUGGCGUAGGAAUGUGACUUUGCUUCGGUGAAGUGUUAUAGCCUGCGUUGAUGCUGCCUGCCUAGACCGAGGACU